AUACUUACCUGACAGGGAAGAAAAUAUAAUCACGAAGGUGGUUUUCCCAGGGCGAGUCUUAUCCAUUGCACUCCUGAUGUACUGACCCCUGAGAUUUCCCCAAAUGUGGGAAACUAAACUGCAUACUUUUGGGUAGUGGGGGACUGCCUUCACACUUGCCCUUG
rnacentral:snRNA from 1 species